CGCGUAGGCGGUCUUGUAAGUCAGAUGUGAAAGCCCGGGGCUCAACCCCGGAAGGGCAUUUGAUACUGCGAGACUUGAGUAUGGGAGGGGGAAGUGGAAUUCCUGGUGUAGAGGUGAAAUUCGUAGAUAUCAGGAGGAACACCAGUGGCGAAGGCGACUUCCUGGACCAAUACUGACGCUGAUGCGCGAAGGCGUGGGGAGCAAACAG
rnacentral:rRNA from 1 species